rnacentral:rRNA from 1 species
CCUACGGGAGGCAGCAGUGGGGAAUAUUGCACAAUGGGGGAAAGCCUGAUGCAGCGACGCCGCGUGAGUGAUGAAGUAUUUCGGGACGUAAAGCUCUGUCAUGAGGGAAGAAAAUGAGGGUAAUUGACUAUGCAGCCCCGGCUAACUACGUGCCAGCAGCCGCGGUAAUACGUAGGGGGCACGCGUAAUCCGGAUUUACGGGGAGUAAAGGGAGCGUGGACGGGGUCUAAAAUCUUGAGUGAAAACACAUGGUUUAAACCUGGAACAUCUUUGGAAACUGGGCAGCUUGAGUGCAGGAGAGGAGAGCGGAAUGCCUAGUGUAGCGGUGAAAUGCGUAGAUAUUAGGAGGAACACCAGUGGCGAAGGCGGCUUUCUGGACUGUAACUGACGUUGAGGCUCGAAAGCGUGGGGAGCAAACAGGAUUAGAUACCCUUGUAGUC